AGAUGGAAAGUCAGAGAGAUGAAGUAACUUGCCAAGACUUGAAAACAGGUUCCCCUGAUACUGCAGCUUCCCCCUCACACUCACUCUGUUUUUCAAGACAAGGGAGGGAGUGUGGAAAGGGAGUCCCUCAACAGAUGAUGAAGCUGGGCUCAGAGAGAUUAUGUAACCUCCCUGUGCCACAGUCAGUACAACUGUAAUAUGACUGACAUAACUCAGCCUCCGAUUUUUGAGCCCUCCACAAGAUCUGCUGUGUACCUAAUAUGUACCAUGAGUUCUUACAGAUGCUGCCAUGAUUUGAAAGAUCUGUGAAGAUAUGACCACAGCCUGAGGAAUAA